CCUACGGGAGGCAGCAGUGAGGAAUAUUGGUCAAUGGACGAGAGUCUGAACCAGCCAAGUAGCGUGAAGGAUGACUGCCCUAUGGGUUAUAAACUUCUUUUAUAUGGGAAUAAAAUGUUCCACGUGUGGGCUUUUGUAUGUACCCUAUGAAUAAGGAUCGGCUAACUCCGUGCCAGCAGCCGCGGUAAUACGGAGGAUCCGAGCGUUAUCCGGAUUUAUUGGGUUUAAAGGGUGCGCAGGCGGCCUGUUAAGUCAGUUGUGAAAGUUUGCGGCUCAACCGUAAAAUUGCAGUUGAAACUGGCAGUCUUGAGUACAGUAGAGGUGGGCGGAAUUCGUGGUGUAGCGGUGAAAUGCUUAGAUAUCACGAAGAACUCCGAUUGCGAAGGCAGCUCACUGGACUGCAACUGACACUGAGGCUCGAAAGUGUGGGUAUCAAACAGGAUUAGAUACCCCAGUAGUC
rnacentral:rRNA from 1 species